UACGGAGGGCGCAAGCGUUGUCCGGAUUUCUUGGGUUUAAAGGGUGCGUAGGCGGGCGAUUAAGUCAGUGGUGAAAGGCUCCGGCUCAACCGGAGACGCGCCAUUGAUACUGGUUGUCUUGAGUACAGAUGAGGUGGGCGGAUUUUACGAUGUAGCGGUGAAAUGCAUAGAUAUCGUAAAGAACACCGAUAGCGAAGGCAGCUCACUAGACUGCUACUGACGCUGAUGCACGAAAGCAUGGGUAGCGAACAGG
rnacentral:misc_RNA from 1 species